rnacentral:misc_RNA from 1 species
CUUCUGAUCCAGUUUAUCCUUUGAUCUGUCGCUGGAAUCUGAAGCUGCAACAACAAUAGAUAGACCUCUAUCAAACUGCACAAACACACAGUGUUAAAUUUUUAGAUUUGCAGCAAUUUUGUUACAUCAAUCCAUUUUCCAAUGAUUUGAAUGGAGAAUGUCACAGCUCGACUUACAAUACAAGAGAGAAUGAAUAUUGGAAUCCAAAACAAUGGAGUAAUUUUGAAAAUUCUUGAUAACUUCUCAGAAUUUAGCAUAUAUUGUAUAUAAAAUAAGGAUAGGAAAGAUACAGUACCCCCAGAUUUUUAUCAUCAG